rnacentral:misc_RNA from 1 species
GAAAUGCGAUAAGUAAUGUGAAUUGCAGAAUUCAGUGAAUCAUCGAAUCUUUGAACGCACAUUGCGCCCGGGAGCAUUCUCCCGGGCAUGCCUGUUCGAGCGUCAUUUCAACCCUCGACCUCCCCUUGGAGAGGCCGGCCGUUGGAGAUCGGCAGCGAUUGCCGGCUCCCAAAUUCAGUGGCGACCCGCCGCGGGGACCCCUGCGCAGUAACAUACACUCGCACCGGAAACCAGACGUGUCACGCCGUAAAACCCCAACUUUCUGAACGUUGACCUCGGAUCAGGUAGGAAUACCCGCUGAACUUAA